rnacentral:rRNA from 1 species
CCAGACUCCUACGGGAGGCAGCAGUGGGGAAUAUUGGGCAAUGGAGGCAACUCUGACCCAGCAACGCCGCGUGAAUGAUGAAGGUCUUCGGAUUGUAAAGUUCUUUUCUAAGGGAAGAAGAAAGUGACGGUACCUUAGGAAUAAGCCUCGGCUAACUACGUGCCAGCAGCCGCGGUAAUACGUAGGAGGCAAGCGUUAUCCGGAAUGACUGGGCGUAAAGGGUGCGUAGGUGGUUUGACAAGUUAGUAGCGCAACUCCGGAGCUUAACUUCGGAACUACUACUAAAACUGUUGGACUUGAGUGCAGGAGGGGCAAUCGGAAUUCCUAGUGUAGCGGUGGAAUGCGUAGAUAUUAGGAGGAACACCAGUGGCGAAGGCGGAUUGCUAGACUGUAACUGACACUGAGGCACGAAAGCGUGGGGAGCAAACAGGAUUAGAUACCCUAGUA